UGCAGAGGGUGCAAGCGUUGUUCGGAAUUAUUGGGCGUAAAGGGCGCGUAGGCGGUGCGGUAAGUCUGUAGUGAAAUCUCUGGGCUCAACUCAGAGUCUGCUUUAGAAACUGCCGUGCUUGAGUGUGGGAGAGGUGAGUGGAAUUUCCGGUGUAGCGGUGAAAUGCGUAGAUAUCGGGAGGAACACCUGUGGCGAAAGCGGCUCACUGGACCACAACUGACGCUGAGACGCGAAAGCUAGGGGAGCAAACAGG
rnacentral:rRNA from 1 species